AACAUGCAACACGCUAUUAUAAGAAGAAAAAAAAACGUAUUUCCUGCACCACGUUAAUGAUAAGUGAAUAAGUUUUGGCUUUGUUUUUCAAAGAAGAAAAUUGAUUUUUUUUUUUUUUAAGGAUAAGAUUUAGGGUAAUCAACAAUUAGCAUGGCUUGUGCUCAGACUCCUUUUUUUUUUUUUUUUUUUUUCUCAUUCGUUGAGCGAGAUCAGAGAAUGUUUUUUAUUCCCUGUUGUGUCGUUCAGCUGCAGAAGAACCAGUGGAUUCAGUGUUCGGGCUUCUAGCGCAUGGGUUGGAUGGCUCAGCCAAAUAGCACAGCUAAAAUGGACAGAUGUGGUUUCCACUACAGAUUUCGGAAACAAAACCUCCAGAAGGGUUUACCACGGCUUGUGAAUAUCGUCCAAUCCAACAGGUGGUGCUGAGAAUUUUGACUUGGAGGUAUUUACUGUCAAUAGUACUUUAGGGUAAUUGACUUGUCAUAAAGCUUAGGCUGAUAAUUACCCUUGCUAUUUUUAUUUAGUUUUAUUGUAAGUGGAUUCUGCUCCUGGAGGACUUCAGUGCUCUGACUUGCACGUCUAAUAUUAUUAGAUGCUAUGAGUUGAGCCAGUGCAAAUCUGUUAAUGCAUAAGACCAUAAGAACCUCUUAUGUUCCAAGCCAGGUCAGAGAGAAGACACAGCAGAUUAAUAUUUGAUCAUGCAGAGGGGGCCCUUAAUCAGAUCUGCUUAUUCCGUCAGCUGAGUGCUCUGCUUCAAUUAUCAUAAUUGUUGUGUUAAACAUGAUUGUAUUUUUUUUUUUCUUUUAUGUUUUUUUUCCGGCUGGUGGUUGGACAUGAGCGUGCACCGUGAGAGAGGGAUUCCAGCACCAAACCUAAUUAAUGCAGGAUGGAUGGCUGGGCAAGCUGAGGGACGAGGAGGAUAUUAGGGAGAGGAAAGGGAGGGCGGCUGUGGGCACUGGUUCUGCUCCAAGCCACAGUCGGUGGCAUAGCCCAGGGCAGCGCAGGUAACUCCAACCAACCAGAACUCCCCAGGAAGGCUGCCCAUCCCACAGUAAUGCUCCCUCAGCAUCGCCCCAAGCAGCAGUGGAUCUCAGAGAAAUCAGAUUGGCACAGAAAAUUCACUAUUUCAGCCCACAGGUUUUCAUUCAAGUUAAACAACUGUCAAUUGUUCUACUUGCCAUCUGGGUUUCUAACUGAAGAGUUUAUUUUCUGUUUGCUCCACUGUCCUUUCUCGCUCCAUGGCUGUCAGCGGGUGAUGAUGUUUUACAAAAACCUGGAAACAGAGACACGAAUGUAAAUGUUUUUCUCUGCCAACUUAUUUACAAUUGUACAACAAACAGUGUAAUGUAUAUUUCGAAGUGUUCUGACAUGUUAUGUUGGAUAUCACUUGUAAUUAUUGAGACAAAAAUUGCAAACAUGAAAUAUUUCUCAAUUUAAAACAUUUUACACACAGCUACCACUAGAAUGUGCAGUUUGACACUUAAAAAGACAUCUUUAUUUUGCAUCAUUGUAGUUCUCAAAAAGGAGGAAUAAGAAAAACUACCCCAAUAUAUUGUUACAGUAAAACAAUGGUGUAUUAAUUUUACACAUCAAGUAAAUACACGUUUUACAUGAUGAAUUGUAUUUGCAGUCAAACCAAUCAUUAGUAUGCUUCCAGUAUCCUUCAAUAUUAGAAGACGUUUUACAGUUUGCUGUUGUUAGACUUUGUGAUCAAAAUAUUAGUAAAAAAAAGAAUCAAAAUAAUUUUAGAUGCAUAAAAAUGUAGGCCUUUUUGUUUCCAUCCUAACAGUGCAGACAUAAUUUAGCAUGCUAUUUUCCGCUUUUCCCCUUAAAAUGUUCUUGCACAGUCUAAAGCUUACAGUAACACAAAAUAACUGCCAGAUGGUCUAGGGGAAAAUGCAAGGAGCAAUCACUCCGUACACUUUAUUUUUCUCUUUCUGACAAUUCUGCUGCUAAAAAAAUAAAAUAAAUCAAAAUAAAUCCAGGUGGCUCUGAUCAUAAUAGGGGUGACUGCUAGCUGCAUUUUAUACCAUGAGAUGGGGAGACAUGGGAACGCAAACAGAAGGGAUAGCACUGGGAAAUUAGUUUCAAACUUUGAGUCUGAUUAGCUUAUUUUCCGAUAGCAUUAGCUUGUACUGUAAUAAAGCAAACAAUAUAAAUACCUCAAGAAAUACACAGCUUAAAUACUAAUAAGAGUUAAAAAACUAUUAAAUUAAACACUAAGUUGUUGAAUUUUUUUUAUGUUGGCAGAUGAUUAUACAUUUUCUGUUUAAUUAAACUUAUAAAUAAUUUUUUAAGCUGUUUCUCAUAGUAGUUCAUUAUUGUUUAUCACUGGGCUUUCAACAUAAAAUAAUGUUGUUAGUUGUCUAUUUGUAAAGAACUUUUUAUGCACUAUAUAGUACAGAGAACCGAAACAAGGAGAAUAUUUGUUCAUACAUUAAAACACACACGCCAAGAAAAUGUUUACUUUCUUUGUCUUAAGUGAUGUUGAUAUUUGAGAUGGGAAACAUUUUAUAAUUUACAGCCGCAUUUUAUGUUUUUCCAAAUCUGUACAGAUGAAAAAUGUCAUGUGGUUUUUAUGUAGAAAGAAAAAGCAUUAAACAAAAAAAACGUGCCCAGCUUUUUAACCCUUCAAAAAGUUUGACGAAAUAAAUAAGAAUUUGGAUUUUUGAAACCGGAUUUGCUUAAAUAAUGUUUUUUUUUAUUUUGGCAAGGUUUUUGAAAAGCAUAAUAAUAACUGAUGCAGAAAUGUUAUAAAAAAUGUUAAUGUUAGUUGUGUUGUGCAUUUAUUUGCAAAUUAGCAAUAUAUUUACUGGACACAGCAGAUAUCUGUGGGAAGAACUAACUUUGUUAAAGUGGCAGAGUUCCCAGAAAUAUUCAAGGGUGUUGUGGGAUUGAACCAAAAAACUAAUUUGAAGCUUCAGCUGAUCUUUAUUUGUAUGUAAAAUGCACAGAUCAUUUGAGGUUUUAUCCAGUCAAUAAUUAUUGGAAAGAAGUUGCUUCAACUUGCAGAUUAAUAUCCUUUCUUUGAAUUGAAGCAUUCAUGUGUGUAAUUCUGUUCAUAUGUCACACUAAACAAUAAAAUUACCAAAGCAAAACUC